rnacentral:lncRNA from 1 species
UUAGAAACCUAAUGUUCCUUCUCUUUUACAAAUAACAUAAAAAAAUAUAUAUAAAACAAAUAAGCUUCUCCCUCAACAUAAAAUAACAAUUUUUUUUUUAUUUCUUUCUUCUUCCCAAGAGAAACAGAGCAAUGCUCUGUUUCUUCUUUCUAAAUUCUUCUCUCCCAAGCCGAUGGCGUCCCUUUCCUCCCUCUUGAACCAGCCGACCACCCUGCCAAGAGCCCCCUGUUCCUUGGCCCCCCAACCGAGCACCACCCGAGAGCUUCCCUCCUCCUCUCGUUCUCCCCUUCUUAUAGAUCGCCACAGCAUGGAAUGGAAGGCAGCGAUAGAUCCCGGGAGAGGAGGAGGGCGCGGUCUGCGGCCGUGUGCAGGAUCACCUCACGGACGUGGGAUCUCGGCUACAUCACGGCGGAAGCAGAGGCGGAG